rnacentral:rRNA from 1 species
AUUGAACGCUGGCGGCAGGCCUAACACAUGCAAGUCGAACGAGUGGCGGACGGGUUAGUAAUGUCUGGGAAACUGCGCGAUGGAGGGGGUUAACUACUGGGAACGGUAGCUAAUACCGCAUACCAUCGGAUGUGCCCAGAUGGGAUUAGCUAGGAGGUGGGGUAACGGCUCACCUAGGCGACGAUCCGUAGCUGGUCUGAGAGGAUGACCAGCCACACUGGAACUGAGACACGGUCCAGACUCCUACGGGAGGCAGCAGUGGGGAAUAUUGCACAAUGGGCGAAAGCCUGAUGCAGCCAUGCCGCGUGUAUGAAGAAGGUCUUCGGGUUGUAAAGUACUUUCAGCGAGGAGGCGUUACUCGCAGAAGAAGCACCGGCUAACUCCGUGCCAGCAGCCGCGGUAAUAC